rnacentral:rRNA from 1 species
AGAGUUUGAUCAUGGCUCAGGAUGAACGCUAGCUACAGGCUUAACACAUGCAAGUCGAGGGGCAGCAUUUUAGUUUGCUUGCAAACUAAAGAUGGCGACCGGCGCACGGGUGAGUAACACGUAUCCAACCUGCCGAUAACUCGGGGAUAGCCUUUCGAAAGAAGAUUAAUAUCCGAUAGUAUAUUAAACCGCAUGGUUUUACUAUUAAAGAAUUUCGGUUAUCGAUGGGGAUGCGUUCCAUUAGUUUGUUGGCGGGGUAACGCCCACCAAGACUACGAUGGAUAGGGGUUCUGAGAGGAGGUCCCCCACAGUUGGAACUGAGACACGGUCCAAACUCCUACGGGAGCA